CCCUUAGAUGUUCUGGGCCGCACGCGCGCUACACUGAUGCAUUCAACGAGUUCCUACCUUGGCCGAGAGGCCUGGGCAAUCUUUUGAACUUGCAUCGUGAUAGGGAUAGAUUAUUGCAAUUAUUAAUCUUGAACGAGGAAUUCCUAGUAAACGCAGAUCAUCAAUCUGCAUUGAUUACGUCCCUGCCCUUUGUACACACCGCCCGUCGCACCUACCGAUUGAAUGGUCCGGUGAAGCCUCGGGAUUGUGGUUAGUUUCCUUCAUUGGAAGUUAGCCGCGAGAACUUGUCUAAACCUUAUCAUUUAGAGGAAGGUGAAGUCGUAACA
rnacentral:rRNA from 1 species